UCGCUCCUACCGAUUGAAUGAUCCGGUGAAAUCUCUGGACCGUCGCACACAUCGGGUUUCCGAAGUGUGCUUCUGGGAAAUUGCUUAAACCUUAUCAUUUAGAGGAAGGAG
rnacentral:rRNA from 1 species